rnacentral:RNase_P_RNA from 2 species
GGAGGAGCGUACCCGAUCGCCGGUCGCGCCCCCGGGCGUGACGGGAGGAAAGUCCGGGCUCCACAGGGCAGGGUGCUGGGUAACGCCCAGUCUCGGCGACGAGCAGGAAAGUGCCACAGAAAACAGACCGCCGAGUCUUCAGCCGGCCCGGCUGAGGGCUCGGUAAGGGUGAAACGGUGAGGUAAGAGCUCACCAGUCCCGGUGGUGACACCGGGAGCUAGGUAAACCCCACCCGGAGCAAGGCCAAGUAGGGGAGCGUUUGAGGGUUGCCCGCCUGAAGCUCCCGGGUCGGCCGCUCGAGCCCGGCGGUAACGUCGGGCCUAGAGGAAUGAUCGGGGCCCGCCCUUCCCGGCGGGAACAGAACCCGGCUUACGCGCUCCUCCAAUC